rnacentral:rRNA from 1 species
CCUACGGGUGGCAGCAGUGGGGAAUAUUGCACAAUGGGGGGAACCCUGAUGCAGCAACGCCGCGUGAAGGAAGAAGGCUUUCGGGUUGUAAACUUCUAUCAUUAGGGACGAAAAGAAUGACGGUACCUAAAUAAGAAGUCCCGGCUAACUACGUGCCAGCAGCCGCGGUAUUACGUACGGGGCAAGCGUUAUCCGGAAUUACAGGGGGUAAAGGGAGCGUAGGCGGCAUGGUAAGCGAGAAGAGAAAGAUCGCGGCUUAACCGCGCAGAUUGCAUUUGAAACUAUCAAACUAGAGUACAGGAGAGGAAAACGGAAUUCCUAGUGUAGCGGUGGAAUGCGUAGAUAUUAGGAAGAACACCAGCGGCGAAGGCAGCUUUCUGGACUGAAACUGACGCUGAGGCUCGAAAGCGUGGGGAGCAAACAGGAUUAGAUACCCGGGUAGUC